GCGCGAAACCUCUGCAAUGCGGGAAACCGUGACAGGGGGAUCCCAAGUGCUCAUGCAUUGCAUGGGCUGUUCUUUGGUCUAAGUAACCAGAGGAGUAAGGGCUGGGCAAGACCGGUGCCAGCCGCCGCGGUAAUACCGGCAGCUCAAGUGGUAGCCGCGAUUAUUGGGCCUAAAGCGUUCGUAGCCGGAUAAGUAAGUCUUUGGUUAAAUCCUGCAACUCAACUGUGGGAAAUCUAGGGAUACUGCUUGUCUUGAGACCGGGAGAGGUUAGAGGUACUCCUAGGGUAGGGGUGAAAUCCUGUAAUCCUAGGGGGACCACCUGUGGCGAAGGCGUCUAACUGGAACGGGUCUGACGGUGAGGGACGAAACCUAGGGGAGCGAGCCG
rnacentral:rRNA from 1 species